GCAAGUUCUUUGCGACUUUUUCCGCCGGCGACGCAGGCGCGCUCUUGUUUCAUCUAUCUAGGGUUUGAAUCUCGAGAGCUUUCGUGGGGUUUAUUGAGAAAAUAUCGAUGGCAUCUCCGGCGACUAGUUCGGGGCUCUUCAAGUUCUUGCAGGUGCGCCUCCGCCCUCAGUCGACGGACAUCGUUUCCGCCGCCACCUGGGGAGUCGCCGCCUCGGCCACCACCAUCUGGCUCGUUCAGCCUUUUGAUUGGUUGAAGAAGCAACUAUUUGAGAAACCAGAGGAGUAAAUUCAGUUUUGAAAUUAUUUUUUUCAGCCUUUUGAUUGGUUGAAGAAGCAGCUAUUUUAGAAACCAGAGGAGUAAAUUCAGUUUUGGCUCUCACUUUGGGAAAUUUGGGACCCGCUAAAGAUGUCCAUUUUAUGUUUCAGUUUCCUUUGAGAGGGAAAUCAAACGCCAGGGUGACACUGAAUAAAAAUAACGUUCUGUUUCUAAAGCCUAUUUGAUGACCGUGACUCUGUUUUUAAUGGAUUACUGUUUCAUAUUUUUUGAAAGA